rnacentral:rRNA from 1 species
ACUACGGGUGGCAGCAGUGGGGAAUAUUGGGCAAUGGGCGCAAGCCUGACCCAGCAACGCCGCGUGAAGGAAGAAGGCUUUCGGGUUGUAAACUUCUUUUCUCAGGGACGAAGAAAGUGACGGUACCUGAGGAAUAAGCCACGGCUAACUACGUGCCAGCAGCCGCGGUAAUACGUAGGUGGCAAGCGUUAUCCGGAUUUAUUGGGUGUAAAGGGCGCGUAGGCGGGAGCGCAAGUCAGAUGUGAAAACUCAGGGCUCAACCCCGGGCCUGCAUUUGAAACUGUUUUUCUUGAGUGCUGGAGGGGCAAUCGGAAUUCCGGGUGUAGCGGUGAAAUGCGUAGAUAUACGGAGGAACACCAGUGGCGAAGGCGGAUUGCUGGACAGUAACUGACGCUGAGGCGCGAAAGCGUGGGGAGCAAACAGGAUUAGAUACCCCAGUAGUC